CCCUUUGUUUCUCUGCAUGUUUCCAAUAAGACACUCUCAAAAGUAUGUUCUUAGUUUCAUCUGAUUCCAUAUAUGGCUAAGGGCCCUAGAAAUGCGAUGGCAAUUGAUGAAUACAAUAGUCAGUUGCUGCAUGACUUGGUUGCUUAUUAUGGCAGUGAUGUUGAUUUUGAGCUUUGUAAAAAUAUAAAUUAUUAUUCUUUCUGCCUUACCACCAUAACAGCUGUCAGACUGCCAUCUAAUAGUUUUUUAAUUAGGUCUAUUUUUGUGAUAGAGAGAGUUUUCCAUAUUCAUAUAUGCUUGUUAACCUCAAGGAUUAAUUUUCACAGAAUGCCACCAGGUAAAAUAUGCAAAAAUUCUUACCUCUUUUGCUAGCAUUGCAUAGUGAAUAGAACCUUGCCUGAAGUUAAGCACACUGAAGUUGUGAAAGGUGACAAGGAUUUGAGGGCAUGGUAAUUACUGAAAGCGGACAAGCUCCAGAAGUAAAAUUGAGAGCUUGACGCACUUGCAAGUUUGUUCUCUCUCUGCACUUCGCGCAUAUACAUAUAAUAUGUAUAUAUUCACAAGUCAAAAUCAAAGCCUCUGCUAAUGUUAAAAAGGCAGAGGGGUAUUUUAUUCAGAACGCAUGUAUUUCUGAACUAAGAUAUAUUUUUGGUUUCAAUUAAUAGGUGCUUAAUUAUGUUCUAGUUCACUUAAUUAGUUUAUCAGUGGAUUUACAUGUGGUAACUGGAAUCUUCUCUGCCACAUAUGCGGUAGACAAGGCAGAAGAGACCUGUAUCCUAUAGCUGGGGAAGACUCAUCCAUUAUGGUUUGUCUUCCAUGUUCUACUUGUUGCGGAGUUGUUUUUUUCACUUAAACUGUGCACUUACUAGCCUUUUACAUGAACAAGGCUGACAUUUGUGCCUUCUCUAUGGCUGAAAAGCUUACAUAUUUGCACAAUACCGUGUCUCCAAAUUAUCUAUGAAGGCAAGAGGUGACUUUACCUUCUUAAGUAGUUAUAUGCCACUUUUAACAUGGUUGACCUUCUCUAUUUUUACAUUGUUAAAGUAGUCACCUUAGAGGUUAUGGAUCAACAUUUGCUAGCCCACAGUGUUGUGUUGUGUAUGGUGGAUGUCCAUGUGUCUUACAUGUCUUAUGCGAUGCUAUGUCUCUGUAUUCCAUGAAGAUUAAGGAGCAAAAUCACCAUGCCUCAGAUCAUCAUAGUACUAGAAUAGAAAAGACAUCUGAUGAAGAUAAUGCCAUAAGCAAUUGAAAAUGCUAAACAGCUGUUCUUGUCUUCACUAUCUACUUAAACUUUUAACAGCAAUGAGUGAUACUGCCUGCUUAUAGUAGUUUCAGUGAAGAAUGGCAGUAUGGAACUUCAUUCCCCUCAUUGCGUCAUCUCUUUGAAGAUGAUUUAUGCAUGUUUUGCUGUCCGAAAAUGGUGUUAGUUAUGAAUUUUAUAAUUAGCUUUCACUUCUUUACUCUUGUUUACAUGAAAAGAUUUUGCAACUACCUAUUUAACAUCUUCUGUCCCAGGAAUAUGCAUGGAAGUUGGUGACCUUUACCCUCCGACUGACAGAUUCUAAAUCCUGUAUUUAGGCCAGUAUUCUUUGUUAUUGUUGAUAGUGGUACUAAGCCCGACUCGCCGUCCUGAACUUUCAUGCGAACUACCAGUUUUUGUUGGUUGCAUGCUCAGUUGCAAUAACUGCAUAUCUACAUAGCUGUUUGCUUAAUUGAUAGCACUGACGUGGGGGAAACUUUUGUGAUUUGUAACCUAGUUUACAUGUAAAGCCGGGGUCAGUCGUGACCUCAUAACCGUGCUUGUUGAUGCUGCACCUAUUGCUUCGUGCAGUGGUGCAGCAUUCAUCGACACAUACUCCAUUUUUAAAACAUGGGGUGUGUAUAAUGGGAUGUUAUCUUCUCCCCCACAUAUAUGCAGCCUUGUGACUGUGUCAAUAUAUCGUCUAUAUCCACUUCAUAGCCCAUGCUACGAAUUAGGCAUCUUUCACUUGCUCUAGAAUGCGUAAACUCUACCUUAAUACAAACAAUGCAAUGUCUUGGUUUUUCUGGAACUCGUGGCCUUCAUCGUUUGGUUCAACUCCAGUCGAAUUUUAUCCCAAACGUGCUGCAACAUUGAACACACAGCAAUACCUUCUGCAUGUUUGAAAAUUCAUGGUGCCGUACAAUGGCUAAACUAUCAACUCAGCUGAAAGAGGGAACCGAGAAUGGAGAAGUUGGAUUGUGUUCGAACACGUACGGACGAUGGUCUCUGGAGCUGCUGAUGAAAAAUUGUAAUGUACUUGGGAUCUUUCAAUGGUGGUUUUUUGAUCUACGUAGCUUAAAUUGCAUUUAAUGAAUCAUCAGGUUAGAAAUAUUAAAUAUUAAAUAUUGUACAGUUUAAAUUUUUAAAUAAAAUGUAUUUAAUUCGGGGCAAAUUCGAGGUCCGGAGCUUAAUUUUAUUGUUACA